rnacentral:rRNA from 1 species
GACGAACGCUGGCGGCGUGCUUAACACAUGCAAGUCGAGCGGUAAGGCCCUUUCGGGGGUACACGAGCGGCGAACGGGUGAGUAACACGUGGGUGACCUGCCCUCAGCUCUGGGAUAAGCCUGGGAAACCGGGUCUAAUACUGGAUAUGACUCCAUGACGCAUGUUGUGGGGUGGAAAGCCUUGUGCGGCUGAGGAUGGGCCCGCGGCCUAUCAGCUUGUUGG